CUAAAGUAUUUGUUAUAAUAGUGUUGUGCCAUUUCUCUUUCGCUUUGUUUUGUUUAUGAAAAUGUGAAUUCCAUUUCUAGAUCAUACACGUCUUCUUCAACCUCUUUGUCAGUUUAUUCUCCUCGCUCCUGGCGGAGUGCAAAACAGACCUUCCGCUGUAAAGAACUUAUUAAGUAAGUACUUAUCAUAUGGCUGUCUUAUCAUAAGUUGCUCUGUGUUAGUAUAGAUUUUCUUAUAUAACACCUCAUUACAUUUUGGUCAUUUAAUUAGUGCAUAUGAUCACAUCAUAAUAUUAUAAUAUUUUAAUAAAAUAUAAUAUUAUAUUUUAAUAUUAUUAAAAUAUUAUAUAAUAUUAUAAUAUCUUUACCACAAUUAAAGAAAAUUUGUCAAUCAAAGUUUGAUUUGAGCAAUUUAGACCAAGAAGCUGUCCAAUAUUAUAAUAUUAUUAAAAUAUUUGCCGGUUUACACGAGACACAUGAAACAAGAUUCAUUUGUAAGGUCCGCAUUUCGACAUUUGUACGACACCAUCUGCAUCAUCACUUGUAACUUUAUACCAACUUGAACUGGUUGUAGUUUGUUUUAAGUAAUUCAAAAUUGAUAGCAUGUAAUUGCAUCUAUCUUUGGUAGAAUUUGUACGGUUUUACUAAAUUGUUCAAUAGGAGUUUCAACUAGAUUUUAGCUAUCAUUAAAUUAUGGAUUUCAGUUCGACUGCAUUUUUUCAGUCAGCCGGAAAUUGAUGUCACGACCUUUCAUUAUCAUAUUCAUAUUUCCAAGUAUUGUGAAUAAUCAAGGUGUUGUUAUUGCAAAAUCAAACCAAAGCGAAGGCGGAAGUGUUUCAAAACCUCGUCUGUUUCUUGCUCUCGAUUUAUUUGCUUUACAAUGUGAGAUAAAUAUGACAAAGAAAGAUCAUUGGUAUCGAAUCUUUAACUAGAAAGUGACGCAAUGUUUCUAUGAGCUAUGAACCAUGGCUUGCUGCCCGACCGAAGAGAAAUAUGCCUACGAAGACUGUCGAUUUGAGAAAGAUGUCGACGAAAAUUUUCAUUGUUCUAUCUGCUACAAUGUUCUUAAAGAACCAAGGACGUGUAGGAAUAAUGAUCACAUCUUUUGUCUUGCCUGCAUCACUCAACAUCUAAAGGUGAACUCUCAAACUUGUCCUGAAUGUAAUGAGCAUUUGAGCGUCGAUACGCUUCGUCGGCCGCGUGUGUUGAAUAACAUGUUGUCUAAACUAAAGAUAAAUUGUGAUCAUGCCAGUCGGGGAUGUCCUCAGUUUACCUGUCUUGAAGAUCUCAAAACUCACGUGGCGAAUUGUGGCUAUGCACCUGUGUUGUGUUCAAAUGCAGAGUGUGGUAUGGAGAUUAACAAACAAGAUAAGGUCCAUCAUGAGACUGAAGUUUGUGAUUAUAGAAAAGUGAAAUGUCAUGACUGUGGACAGAUACAGGAAGAUGUCGGAACAUUGAAAGGAAGUUUAAUGGAACUGGAUAGGAAAGUGGAAGCAGUGAAAGAAAUUAAUAAGGAAAUCAACAAAAAAGUUGAAGCAGUGAAGGAAAUGAAUGGAAAAGUGGAAGCAGCAGUGAAGGAAAUGAACGAAAAAGUGGAAGCAUCAAGUGGACAAACGAAGAAGGAAAUCGGGGAAGUUAAGAAAGAAGUCAAAGAUAUGAAGGACAAUCUUUCCAAAGUGAACAAAGACAUGGACGAAGUCAAAGUCAUGAUGAUUCAAAUGUUAGAGAAGUUAAAUAUGCUUGAACUGCUGAACAAACUGCCAUCUCCGACUGAGGGAAUGUUGAACACACCAAGAGAGGAUAUUUUGAUUGCAGGUGGAUAUGGAGGACCUUGGAGUGAAUCUGGCCAAAGUACGGAAAUUUAUUCCUGGGAGAAAAAUGGUUGGUUUGAGGUGUCGCCAAUGAAUGACGACCAUGGAGGUUCUUCCUCAUUUAUCUAUAAAGACCAGUUCUUUGUUCUCGGGGGAGUAAAUAGUAAGGCAAUAGAGACCUUGAAUCUCGAUGAAUUACCUUUCAAAUGGACGAAAUUUCUUGGGGAACUGCCUUAUGAAUGUGUUGGUCAUCAAACUGUUGUUUACCAGCAGAUUGCUAUUUACAUUGGUGGAUACAAAUAUGGCAAAGGAUGGUCUAACGUGAUUAGUGAAUUGCAACUUAUUUCACCUUGCAUUACGAAAGAGUUGUGUCAAAUGCGUGAACCACGAGCAUAUCAUGGCGCUGAGGUAUUUGAAGAUAAAGUGCUGAUUUUAGGAGGAUAUUGCCCUGGUAUUAAGACUACAGACAGUGUAUUGGAGUUUGAUCCAAAAAGGAAUGAAUGUAAAGAGAUGCCAAAAUUGCCGUCUGCCUUCAGGAGAAUGGCGACAGUUCGCUGGAGGGAUAAAGUAGUGUUGCUUGGAGGUCGUAAUAAGGACGACAAAGUUUUGAAUGAUGUUUUCAUGUACGACUCCAAGACAGGCAAGACCACAGCCUUGCCAUCCAUGUCGGAGAAGAGAUGUGCAUGUUGUGCAGUUAUUACUGGAAAUACCAUUGUAGUGAUGGGAGGGGAGAAUGAGAAAGAUGAAUCUCUCAGUUCAGUGGAGUGUUUUACAAUGGGAGGUUCUACAUGGGAGUAUCUUCCUGUCAUGAACAAACCAAGAUCCAGAGCAGUUGCUGAAGUUUUACCUUCCACACGAAAAUAUGUGUAAAUUGGACAUUGAGACAAUCGUAAGACGUUAAUUCAUAAUUGGGUUACGUUUUCGGGCACGAUUACAUGGUUCGAUCAGCUUUGCUGGGUUGAGAUAUGGUAUGAUUUUGAUGUAUUGAAAUAUUCCACGGUUUAUGAUUUGGAGAAAUUGCAUUAAUUUUCCAAGAUAGUUUGCCAUGUAAUUGAUGCUGAACAACUAGCAAUUUACAGUAAUAAUAAUUUCGUUAAACUACAGGUUUGAUCAAUUGCAUUCCAGCUUCUAAUAUUGUCGUCUGACAUGGUUCAGCUUUGCUGGAUUGAGAUAUGGGAUGAUUUUAAUGUCUUAAAAUAUUCCAGAUUCAUGAUUCGGAGAAAUUACAUCAACCGAACAACUAGCAAUUUACAAUGCCGAACAACUAGCAAUUUACAAUCAUAAUAAUUUCGUUAAUCUACAGGUUUGAUCAAUUGCAUUCCAGCUCCUAAUAUUGUCGUUUGAUUUCAACUUUAUAUACGUUGUGACUUAUGUCGAUACAUUAAAAUCAUCCUGCUUCAUCGUGAAUCACAUCUCAAUAACUAUAUAGUGAUGUUUAUGUUAGUUGAAUAUAUACAGAGAAUGUACAAAAUUAUAGCAAAAUCCAUUCUCCACAGCCUUUCUUAACAUCACAUUGCAAAUUUUAAGAGUUUAAAAUUUUCUUUGUAACAUCCGGCUGUGGUUUCGUUUGAAAAAAUUGAUUGAUUGACCUAGAUUCUUUUAUUAUAGUAUUAGGUAGUCAUGACUAUAAGUUAUGACAAAUAAAAAAAUUAAUAAAGUUUUAUCUCUUAACUCUGAAAUAAAACUAUUACUGGAAAUUCUCCUGUUUUAUUCAACUCUGAGCAAACGAGAGAAAUAUUUUGAAUCUUGAAGACUGCUUUUCAAUUGAGAAAAGUGGACAAAUCCGGCUGCCAGUAAGAUUCAAAAUAUCACUUCAGAAAAACGAUGUCUUUUAAUAAUUUAAAUAUCACCAUCAAUCAUUUCGGAAUUACGGUGAAAUGCCGCGCAGACAAUAGCAUGAGAAUGAGGCGUCAUGCAAAGUUGUUAUGUUUCUGUAUUUGACACGAACCCUCGACUUGAUCUUAUUGUUUUUUACAACUAUAAAGCGUAAUCUCGAAAUAACCUAUUGUUGAACCAUCAGUUGUUUUGGAUGAAAAUUAAAUCUAAUUUGUAAUAUCAAUCAAAAAUGAAUCUAGAGCUUUAGUUUUAUGUAAUUUAUAAACAACAAGAAAUAUUUUUUGAUUAUAAUAUUAAUGUGAUAUUAUAAUAUGUUUAUAAUAUUAUAAUAUUACCUACUAUUUAAAACACGAGCAGGGGUGCUUUAUGGGAUAUAAAAAAGUAUUAUUGCACGUUGUGGUUACCAAGCCCCGGCGCGCUCCAUUGUUUGCUAAAAACCGCGCGAAAAUUCCAUAUUUUUAAAAGCGUAAACAAAAUGUCUUUGCUUUCUCUCUAACUUUUGAAUAUAUAAUAAAACAAUUAUUGAAUUCGGUUUUCGUAUGAUAUCGAGAAUUAUCAAGGUUUGUGUUAUCUACCUCAGGCUUCGGCGGAAAACUCAAACCUCGGCCUGGAUAAUUCUCGAUAUCAUACUCAACCUCAUUCAAUAAAAAUAUUGUGAAAAAUCAUAUCAGCAUUAUGACGUGACUCCGUUAAAUAUUAUCUCAGAACUUCUUAUUUGAUAAUAAUUGUAAUAAUAAUCGUUUUAUUGACAACCAAUUUUGCAGUUAAAACUGAAUUACACUGGUUUUACAACUGUAAGAUACUAUAUAAAGUAAGAAUAUAUAGUAACAUAUGAUUAAAUUUAUGAUUUAACUUAUGAUUUAGUCAAACUAUUGAGUUGAUAUGGCGAUUUCACAGUUGGCUGUUACCCAAUCAGAAACAAUGAAUCUUUUGUAUACCUCCUUAUACCUCAAACACCUCCCAAAUUUAUUUUCCUCUAUUUCAGCUAUUAUCAAAGAUGUUUAUCCGCGGAAACCAUCCAUUGUGUCAAAAUACGCUCUGCCAGUGAUGUGGAAACUUCUCGAGUCUUCGAGCAGUGCAUCGACUGGCAGUGGAAAUAUGAAGGAAGCCGUUCACGGUUUGGCUAACCUACUUUAUUCUUUAAUGGGACAAUCUCUGUUUGAGCAGGCUCAAGCAAAGUCGCACAGAUUACGACAAAAGCUCAAAGAGCUAUUGGAUCAAUGACUGCAUCAAUGAUUGACAAUCUGCUUUGUGAGCAGAGAAUGUUGGAAUGGGGUCCAGGCCAGAUUCCAUAAAAGGCAGUUACACACACGGAAAAUUUCGUCCCGCCAACACGCUGAGCUUUUGCCGCGUUCGAUCUGGUCACCAUUGGCUCAGCUUCGGCCGUACAACAACAGCCAGAACAUCAAAACUGACCGAAUUGGGCUCACUGCUGCUCGGAUAUUUUGCUCCUGUAUACGGUAAAUUCUCUAUUAAGACCCUCUCUCCUUCAGGCAAUAAUAUAAGCUCAUAUUCUUUAUGGGGAAGCCUUUGGCUAAUAACAUCCACGCUUAUUUUAGAGGGAGAAAUCGACAAGCCCGCACCCAUCCCUGGCCAAUAUGCCAUUCGCUAUUGGUCCACUCUCCAAGAAAGCCGUCUCCCUCAAGCGUGCGAACAACUAUUCCCCCCGGAGACUUGAUAUAGGAUUUACCGUCAGGAAUGGAAGGUGGUGGUCGCCUUUUAUAAAAAAAACUUCCCUGGUGUUGACAAGUUGUCUUAAAAGAGAGUUCUAUAAUAUUUAAUAUAUUAAUAAUGUUUUUAACAUUUGUACAUACACAAUGCGUGAACAUUUUAAAAAGAGUGAAAAUUCAAUUUGAAUUUAUACAUGACUAAAGUUUAGCUGUAAACAUUUUUAUGCUGAAAUACGUCCCUCGAACUGUUUACGCGGUGGCCAUUACGUUUUCGUCAAAUUUGCUGUUGACAGUUUCGGUGUAAGAAGAAGGCGUCAAAAAUGGUGAACAACAACAAGUAAAGGUGAACGUUUUUUGAAAAAAGUUAAAGCUAUUAACUCCUUUACUUUCUCGCCAUUUUUUCACCUUUUUGAAAACUUCAAAAGUUCAGGCUCGUUUUGAAAAUGUGAAAAAGUAAUUAAAAUGGCCAAAAGGUAUGGCUAAUCUUAAAUUUUUGGCUAUUUUAUUUUAAUAAUUAAUAGUGCCUGCUAUUUGCAUAAAAUGCGAUUGCCGAAUCAGAGUGCAUUAAAAUCUGACCAAUAGG